AUUGAACGCUGGCGGCAGGCCUAACACAUGCAAGUCGAACGAGUGGCGGACGGGUGAGUAAUGUCUGGGAAACUGCCCGAUGGAGGGGGAUUACUACUGGAAACGGUAGCUAAUACCGCAUACCAUCGGAUGUGCCCAGAUGGGAUUAGCUAGUAGGUGGGGUAACGGCUCACCUAGGCGAUGAUCCCUAGCUGGUCUGAGAGGAUGACCAGCAACACUGUAACUUGGACACGGUCCUGAAUCCUACGGGAGGCCGCAGUGGGGAAUAUUGCACGAUGGGCGCAAGCCUGAUGCAGCCAUGCCGCGUGUAUGAAGAAGGCCUUCGGGUUGUAAAGUACUUUCAGCGAGGAGGCGUUACUCGCAGAAGAAGCACCGGCUAACUCCGUGCCAGCCGCCGCGGUAAUUC
rnacentral:rRNA from 1 species